UGCCAGCAGCCGCGGUAAUACGUAGGGGGCAAGCGUUAUCCGGAUUUACUGGGUGUAAAGGGAGCGUAGACGGAAUGGCAAGUCUGAUGUGAAAACCCGGGGCUCAACCCCGGGACUGCAUUGGAAACUGUUGUUCUAGAGUGUCGGAGGGGUAAGUGGAAUUCCUAGUGUAGCGGUGAAAUGCGUAGAUAUUAGGAGGAACACCAGUGGCGAAGGCGGCUUACUGGACGAUCACUGACGUUGAGGCUCGAAAGCGUGGGGAGCAAACAGGAUUAGAUA
rnacentral:rRNA from 1 species